rnacentral:rRNA from 1 species
UGCUCGAGUGGCGAACGGGUGAGUAACACGUGAGUAACCUGCCCUUGGACUUUGGGAUAACUUCAGGAAACUGGGGCUAAUACCGGAUAGGAGCUCCUGCUGCAUGGUGGGGGUUGGAAAGUUUCGGCGGUUGGGGAUGGACUCGCGGCUUAUCAGCUUGUUGGUGGGGUAGUGGCUUACCAAGGCUUUGACGGGUAGCCGGCCUGAGAGGGUGACCGGCCACAUUGGGACUGAGAUACGGCCCAG